rnacentral:rRNA from 1 species
CCUACGGGAGCCAGCAGUGGGGAAUAUUGGACAAUGGGCGAAAGCCUGAUCCAGCCAUGCCGCGUGUGUGAAGAAGGCCUUCGGGUUGUAAAGCACUUUCAGUGGGGAAGAAAGCCUUGGGGCUAAUACCCUCGAGGAAGGACAUCACCCACAGAAGAAGCACCGGCUAACUCCGUGCCAGCAGCCGCGGUAAUACGGAGGGUGCGAGCGUUAAUCGGAAUUACUGGGCGUAAAGCGCGCGUAGGCGGUUUGAUAAGCCGGUUGUGAAAGCCCCGGGCUCAACCUGGGAACGGCAUCCGGAACUGGCAAGCUAGAGUGUGGGAGAGGAAAGUAGAAUUCCCGGUGUAGCGGUGAAAUGCGUAGAGAUCGGGAGGAAUACCAGUGGCGAAGGCGGCCAUCUGAACUGACACUGACGCUGAGGUGCGAAAGCGUGGGUAGCAAACAGGAUUAGAUACCCGAGUAGUC